rnacentral:rRNA from 1 species
AAUAACGGCCUUAAGAGGCACCACCGUCACCGCCUCUGCACGCGGUGGUGCGUGCUUGGAAGAAAAAAGAAAAGGACUAUUGCGACACGUGAAUUAACACACGUGCCUUCGAAAACCAGGUCUUUGCGUGUUCUAUCUCUAUCUCGCCGACCACCGCAUGCCGCGGUGGCGCUGAUCUCGGUCGGCGUGCUGGUCACCGGGAGGGCCACUGUGCAGGCGGGCCGCUGGCAUUGCACACGCCGGCGGCGCAACUGUAGAACUGCCACGCCGACGCACGAAAGGUGGCAGGCAAGCGUCAGCGCCGGCGUACGCGGCGCAGUAGUAAAGGUCGCAUUCGCCAAAGGCACCACAUGACCGCCGCAUCUGCCUUGCCUUUCUGCAGGGGGCUGCGAGUCAACGGUAGCGAGCAGCGCCGCCGUGCCGUGCCGUGCAGCUGGCUCGGCUCGGCUCGGUCGGGGCUAGCUCCCGCCACGCACGGCUCAGGGGUCGGGGUGGCUAGGCUAGCCGUUCAGGGCUCGUCCAAGCGAGGGGUGUCUGGUCUAGGGCUGCGGGGGUGGUGUGGCGGGGUGGGGGUGGGGGGAAGGGAGGGAGGGUUUUGAGCGCGUCGGUCCGUGGCGUGGCGUGGUCUGGUCCGGCUUUGCCCGCUUAAAAUGGGCGGCCCGGCACGGCCUCGCGCGGCCUUCGGUACCGCCUCACGGCGUCGGAGUAGCUCAAGGACGCGCGGAAGCUCGUGGUGGCCUCCCGCCGCCUGAGGAGUACGCCGCGGGCUAGGUUCGCGCGCGGUAGGGGCGGGAGGAGGUCCGCGGUGGAGUGGCGGGAGACGCUGGUGAGCGGCUACCGGAACCACCUGCGCGAGCACGACGAGCGGCAGGAGCGGCGCAACCCGAAGGAACACCGGGGCGUGCGGUCCGAGGAGGAGGAGCUCCACGCGCGCGACGACGAGGUGGGCCGCCGGAGGACGGAGAGCCGGCGCGGCGAGCGCCCCCGGCGGCGCCGGCACCGGCCCCGGCGCGAGCCGACCCGCGACGACCCGGUGGUGCGCGCGUUCACACCUUUCGGCGCGACGUCCCCGGAGUUCUUCCGGCAACUCAAGCUGUAGGUCGAGCUCUGCCUCCUCACGCACGCGCCGGCGGGGUGGGGGCGGCGCGCUAGCCGCGACGAGCGGCGGCGGCCCCGCGCGGGGCACCUAGAGCCGCUACGCGUGGCGCUCGAGCUCCGGCUCGAGGCCUUCUACCGCGGCGGGUUACCGGCGUGCCACGAGUAGAAGGCGCGCGGGACGCCUACGGGGUUCCCGGCGUACCUCCAGACCCCGCGGUUCUUCCACGCGGCCUAGUUCUUCAUC